rnacentral:rRNA from 1 species
GAUGAACGCUAGCUACAGGCUUAACACAUGCGAGUCGAGGGGAAACGAUGAGAGAGCUUGCUCUCUUAGUCGUCGACCGGCGCACGGGUGAGUAACGCGUAUCCAACCUACCCAUUACAGGGGGAUAACCUUGCGCAAGUAAGACUAAUACUCCAUGGCAUUUUAUGGUGGCAUCAUUAUAGGAUUAAAGAUUUAUUGGUAAUGGAUGGGGAUGCGUCUGAUUAGCUUGUUGGCGGGGUAACGGCCCACCAAGGCAACGAUCAGUAGGGGGUCUGAGAGGAAGGUCCCCCACAUUGGAACUGAGACACGGUCCAAACACCUACGGGAGGCAGAAGUGAGGAAUAGUGGUCGAUGAGCGAGAGCUUGAACCAGCCAAGUAGCGUGCAGGAUGACGGCCCUAUGUGUUGUAAUCUGCUUUUAUAGGAGAAUAAAGUGAGCUACGUGUAGUUUAUUGCAUGUACCCUAUUAAUAAGGACCGGCUAAUUCCGUG